CGGAGAAGCUGCUGCUCCUGGAGAGAGUGGAAGAAACGCGUUUCUCCUCAGCGCUUGAGGAGGAUUCAUCACGAGACACAAUGCAGGAGGAUGGCAAGGUGGUGGACGGCACUCUGCUGGGUGAUGCCAAUGGGGUGGAGCCUGGCAGAGGCCGACAGAAGGAAAGUGGCAAAUGGCAGAGACCUCGCUUCACACGGAAAGCCCUCAUGAGGUGCUGUCUGGUCAAAUGGAUCAUCGCCAGCACUGGACCCAAGGAGCAAGAGACAGCAGUGACAGUGACCUUGAGCUGUCCACGGUGCGGCAUCAGCCCGAGGGUCUGGAGCAGUUGCAGGCACAGACCAAAUUCACCAAGAAGGAGCUGCAGUCCCUAUAUAGGGGCUUUAAAAAUGAGUGCCCAAGUGGUUUGGUUGAUGAGGAAACUUUCAAGACCAUCUACUCCCAAUUCUUUCCCCAAGGCGAUGCCACCACAUACGCCCAUUUUCUGUUUAACGCAUUUGAUCUUGACAGAAAUGGCUCGAUCCGUUUUGAGGAUUUUGUGAUUGGUCUGUCCGUGUUGCUGAGAGGAACAGUCACUGAAAAGCUCAACUGGGCUUUCAACCUUUACGACAUCAACAAGGAUGGAUACAUCACUAAAGAGGAGAUGCUGUUAAUUAUGAAGUCAAUCUACGACAUGAUGGGAAGGUACACAUACCCCAGUGUGCGAGACGAAGCUCCAUCUGAACAUGUGGAAAAGUUCUUUCAGAAAAUGGACAGAAAUCGAGACGGUGUGGUCACUAUUGAAGAGUUUAUUGAGACCUGUCAGAAAGAUGAAAACAUCAUGAACUCCAUGCAGCUCUUUGAAAAUGUGAUAUAGCCCGAAAAUGGAUCACGGUAAAGCUGAAACAGCCGUCAACGUCCUAAAACCAGAUCUCUCUAUCUGUCUAUAUACCAAACUAGCACAGCAGUCACUCUCUGUUUUGUCCUGUAGCACUAAUCCCAUGCCUGCUGCACUCUGUAGAAAACUAUAGACCAACACUUAGCCUGCAAUAUGGCGUCACAAUUUAUACUUCACAGCGGGACUACUAGCCAAGCAAAAAAAAAAAGAAGAAGAGCCAGGAUGGCUGGGAUCCUUCCAGUUGCUAAAUACAAGCAACAAAACAAUGAAACUUUUAAACCGAAUGAACAAACCAAGUAGCAAAGCCACGUUUUGUAUAUCAGGUUGAUGGAUUCCCAUGGAGUCGCCCACUUCCACAUGAAAAUCAUCACCAUUCUGGACUGCUGUCUUCUGCCUUAUGAAUGAGGGACAUUACAAGACUCGAUCUCAACCUUC
ensembl:processed_transcript kcnip3a Kv channel interacting protein 3a, calsenilin